UACGUAGGGGGCUAGCGUUGUCCGGAAUCAUUGGGCGUAAAGCGCGUGUAGGCGGUUCGGUAAGUCCGCUGUGAAAGUCGGGGGCUCAACCCUCGAAUGCUGGUGGAUACUGUCGGGCUAGAGUGCGGAAGAGGCGAGUGGAAUUCCUGGUGUAGCGGUGAAAUGCGCAGAUAUCAGGAGGAACACCAAUUGCGAAGGCAGCUCGCUGGGACGCUACUGACGCUGAGACGCGAAAGCGUGGGGAGCAAACAGG
rnacentral:rRNA from 1 species